rnacentral:rRNA from 1 species
AGUGAACGCUGGCGGUAGGCCUAACACAUGCAAGUCGAACGGCAGCACAGUAAGAGCUUGCUCUUACGGGUGGCGAGUGGCGGACGGGUGAGGAAUACAUCGGAAUCUACUCUUUCGUGGGGGAUAACGUAGGGAAACUUACGCUAAUACCGCAUACGACCUACGGGUGAAAGCAGGGGAUCUUCGGACCUUGCGCGAUUGAAUGAGCCGAUGUCGGAUUAGCUAGUUGGCGGGGUAAAGGCCCACCAAGGCGACGAUCCGUAGCUGGUCUGAGAGGAUGAUCGGCCACACUGGAACUGGGACACGGUCCAGACUCCUACGGGAGGCAGCAGUGGGGAAUAUUGGACAAUGGGCGCAAGCCUGAUCCAGCCAUACCGCGUGGGUGAAGAAGGCCUUCGGGUUGUAAAGCCCUUUUGUUGGGAAAGAAAAGCAGCAGGUUAAUACCCCGCUGUUCUGACGGUACCCAAAGAAUAAGCACCGGCUAACUUCGUG